rnacentral:misc_RNA from 1 species
AAAGGCACCUCAGAGACAA